UAGAAGCAACACUCCUGCGACAUUAUCAUACGACAUGCGACACAGUCUGUGCGACUAUUAUAAACGAGAUCUU